GUGCAGUGAUGUACUUGUCAACACAUCAUUCUGAAGAAGUGUGUGAUGACUUCUGUGACUGAGCACG
ensembl:snoRNA SNORD63 Small nucleolar RNA SNORD63